rnacentral:rRNA from 1 species
GCAGCCGCCGCGGGAAUACGAAGGGGGCUAGCGUUGUUCGGAAUUACUGGGCGUAAAGGGCGCGUAGGCGGCCAUUCAAGUUAGAUGUGAAAGCCCUGGGCUCAACCUAGGAAUUGCAUUUGAUACUGUUUGGCUUGAGUUCGGGAGAGGUGAGUGGAAUUCCCAGUGUAGAGGUGAAAUUCGUAGAUAUUGGGAAGAACACCAGUGGCGAAGGCGGCUCACUGGACCGACACUGACGCUGAGGCGCGAAAGCGUGGGGAGCAAACAGGAUUAGAUACCCCUGUAGUCCCUGUCUCUUAUAC